ensembl:lncRNA
UAGGUCAAACCUUUUAUUUGAGUUUUAAACAUGACAUUCAAAAGACAGAAGCUGGAAGAGGUCUUAGGUAAGGAGUAGUUCCCGGGGUGCCUACAGCGGAGUAAAGUACCUUGUCCCCAAAGAGGAACACAGAACAGAACACCAACUUCUCUCUCUCCCAUCUCCCUCUCCCUCUGGUUCUUAAAAAGUAAAUGAUGUCAUUGGAACCUCUGUACAGGGAAUGAUUCACCCCUGCUGUUCUCUGAUGAAGUCAGAAUUUUGCAAUAGGGAGGAGCUGAGUUCACAAUGGAUUGCCACACUCUAGUGUGUUGCCGCUGAAGAUGUGUCUGUGACUAUUUAUAGAGCCAGAUGGAGCCUGCAUUAGGAGCUCUGAACCCCAGAGUCUGGGAAGCAGAGAACACAUCUGUGGGGUGUGCCUUGUCCUUUCCUAACCCAGAGACACAAAGCUGUACAACAUGAUUUAGCAAGUGAAACUGUGUUCCUACGGAAUAGUCCCAAAGAGAGACCAGAGAAGCUUCCUAAAGACAUCUCUGAUGGACCUGCUUCAUCUGUGUUCUUUCUCAACCUGACCACAGAGCAUGUCUAAAAACAUAUAUAUAAACUGAAAAACAAGAUACCGUGGAACCCAUCAAUAACCCUAGCACCCCAGGGGGUGGAGGCAGGUGGUUCCUUAAGAGGUUUAGGGCAGUUCCACCUACAUAGUACCUUCCGAGCCAGCCAGGGCACCAGAGGGAGAGCCUGUCACAAAGAGAAAGAAUCGGGUGACUUGAAAAUCUCAAUGAUUAACUAGGAAGUUCGCUCAGUCAUGUGUUUAUUCUUUCCACCAAGGGUUAUUAGAUGCUUCCGAUCUGCCAGGAAUCUAUUUCCAGGACCUGGCUGCACACUCUGAGUGAGGACAGUGUCUAUUCGACUUCCAGAGUCUAACUGAGGUGACUACGAUAGGGCCUGAGUUUGGCAAGUAGGAAAUAGAUGGUAAUCAUGUCUUCCCCCAAUUCACCAUGAAUCCUUCUAGCGCAGCGUAGUUAGGACUGGGAUAGUGGGAGGACGGAGAGAUGGUGUUUGCUCUCAAAGGAGCUCCAGUUCAAGAAAAUUCUUGCAACCAAACAUACUGCUUCAAGCUGAUGGGGUAAGUGCUAUAAGUUAAAUACACAGGAGGGCCAUAAAAAGGUCCAAGAAGACUUGAAUAAAUGACAUACUGAGUUUGGCGAUCUCCAGUGAACUCAAGCACUAGUCUCUUUGUGUAGCUCCCUCCCGUGACGGUGCUGAGCUUGGUCUGGGCACUGGCUUACCUCAAUGGUUUAUCAGCAUGAUUGAUGCAAGCUGCAGCUUGCUAUGUUCUUGCUCUUUAUGAAUAUAUUUUUUUUUCCUGGAACCGACCCACCGUGCUCUGAAGAAAAUCAACCAGUCUCACACAGAAGCCUCAAAUGGAAGAGAACUGUGACCUUGGGCAUUAGCCUCAGUUGAACUAACAGCCGGUGCUGCCAUCUGAGUGGGUGGAGCCAGUAGAGAUUUCCACCCUAGAUUCCCGGUCAACCCCUGGGAAGCAGAAGAACCGCCUGACUCAUCAACCCACGGAGAUAGGAGAAGCGAUGAGCUAUUGUUGUCUUAAGCCACAGGGUCUGGAGGUGGCGUGCUCUGCAGCACCAGUUAACGAAACAUGCUGAGACUUGGUAUCGUGGAAGUUAGCACAUGCGAGGCACGAGAUGGCUCAGCCGAUUUGGAUACGGUAUAGGUGGCUGAAUGGGGAGCUGCGGAGUAUAGGGUCAGGGAGAGGCGCUGCUCACUGGAGCUGGAGGCGGGCCAAGUCCAGAUCAAAGCAGAAUAGGCGUCUCCAAGAUUGCCCUUGAUCAAUAAUCCAGUGAUAGGACUGGAAAGAUCCGUAUCAGAUGUGAUUUAUGACAGGGCACAACACAGAGCAGAAUCAGCAGAGAGGAAAGGCAUCUGAGGUAAAGUCUGGGGUGAUCAUCGGAGACAAGGAAAGCGCUUUCCUGGAGACACUUCAUGCAUGAAUAACCCUCUCCCAGCCCCGGCUCCCAGCCCCGGCUCCCGCAGCAGUUGAGUAGCUGCAAGGCCAGCGAAACACUGCUAAUCGGGCUCAUUGCGCUCAGCACCCUAGGGCUCCUACUAGGGACUGUGAUGGAUGUAUGUUUCACUUGGCCAGACUACAUUGCUCAGAUGUCCCAUCAGACAACACCCACUUAAACUCGAGAGCGUUUUCUUCUUCUUUUUUUUUUCUUUUUUUCCUCCCC